AAACCGUAAGCAAUGUAGACAUGAGAUUUCUCCAUGUUACUGCUCAUUUCACUUUCAUUAUUUUUCUACUUCAAUAAUCUCAAGAAGAGAAUGGAUUGUGGCUUUCAAAUCAAAAUUUUUAUGGCAACCACCCUCCGUAUUCAUUCAGCUGAAACUGCCUUCUACAAAAAGUUGCAAAGACCGUGGAACUCGUAAAGGCAAAGGGUGGAAAAGUAACGAGGGAAGCUGGUCCUGUCAAAGGUGGCAGUACUUUAAUUGCAUUUAUCGAAGAUCCAGAUGGUUACAAGUUUGAGCUUCUAGGGAGGGGACCUACACCAGAGCCCCUGUGUCAAGUAAUGCUUCGUGUAGAUGAUCUUGACCGUGCCAUAAAUUACCAUGAGAACGUAAGAUCUGCAGGCUUUUGGCAUGGAGCUACUCAGGAAAAGAGAUAAUCCAGAGUACAAGUAUACAAUAGCCAUGAUGGGAUACGGUCCUGAAGAUUGCCGGCUUCUUAUCUCUGGCAAGGUCUAUGAUGUGACAGAAUUCAGGGACGAUCAUCUCGGAGAUGAUCAAGUCUUGCUAACAGCAGCUGGUAAUUAGAGGUUGAUGAAGUUUUACAGCUUGUUAUGGAAAGGACCGAGAGCUAGAAAAAAGAAGCAGAAUUAUUCAUUUUCAACCUAUUUUCUCCAAAGGGAUCGAGUCCAUUUCACAGAGUGAUGCUGGUACACCACUCAUUUGGGUUGCUGGUCAUGGACAACCUCCUGCUUAUUGAUAAUUUCCACCACUAGCAACAACAACUGGGGUUUAGUAGGAUCAACAUACUUGUAGAUGUGUGUCCGUUGAUGAAUGGGCAGGUACUUCAUGUAUUUGUCUUUUAGCUUUCAUUUUUCUAUUGAAAACAAAAUGUUAGACUUCCUUAAACAUUAUGUAACAUUCUAUUGGUAUAAUAUGGAGUAUAUAGACAUUAUCCAAA